rnacentral:tRNA from 1 species
GCCUGGGUGGCUCAGUUAGUUGAGCUUCUGACUCUGGACUUUGGCUCAGGUCAUGAUCUCACAGUUUGUGGGUUCGAGCCCCACACUGGGCU